GACGAACGCUGGCGGCGUGCCUAAUACAUGCAAGUUGAGCGCUGAAGGUUGGUACUUGUACCAACUGGAUGAGCAGCGCACGGGUGAGUAACGCGUGGGGAAUCUGCCUUUGAGCGGGGGACAACAUUUGGAAACGAAUGCUAAUACCGCAUAAAAACUUUAAACACAAGUUUUAAGUUUGAAAGAUGCAAUUGCAUCACUCAAAGAUGAUCCCGCGUUGUAUUAGCUAGUUGGUGAGGUAAAGGCUCACCAAGGCGAUGAUACAUAGCCGACCUGAGAGGGUGAUCGGCCACAUUGGGACUGAGACACGGCCCAAACUCCUACGGGAGGCAGCAGUAGGGAAUCUUCGGCAAUGGACGAAAGUCUGACCGAGCAACGCCGCGUGAGUGAAGAAGGUUUUCGGAUCGUAAAACUCUGUUGGUAGAGAAGAACGUUGGUGAGAGUGGAAAGCUCAUCAAGUGACGGUAACUACCCAGAAAGGGACGGCUAACUACGU
rnacentral:rRNA from 1 species